rnacentral:rRNA from 1 species
UACGAAGGGGGCUAGCGUUGCUCGGAAUUACUGGGCGUAAAGGGAGCGUAGGCGGGUCGUCAAGUUGGGGGUGAAAGCCCAGGGCUCAACCUUGGAACUGCCUUCAAAACUGACGAUCUAGAGUAUGGAAGAGGUAAGUGGAACUCCGAGUGUAGAGGUGAAAUUCGUAGAUAUCAGGAGGAACACCAGUGGCGAAGGCGGCUUUCUGGACGAUAACUGACGCUGAGACGCGAAAGCGUGGGGAGCAAACAGG